GCAGAACGCGAAGAACCUUACCUACACUUGACAUGCCUCUUGGGACUUUCAGAGAUGAUUGUUUUCGGUUCGGCCGAGGAGUGCACAGGUGCUGCAUGGCUGUCGUCAGCUCGUGUCGUGAGAUGUUGGGUUAAGUCCCGCAACGAGCGCAACCCUUAUCGUAUGUUGCCAGCAUUUAGUUGGGCACUCAUGCGAGACUGCCGGUGAUAAGCCGGAGGAAGGCGGGGACGACGUCAAGUCAUCAUGGCCCUUACGUGUAGGGCUACAAACGUGCUACAAUGGCGGUGACAAUGGGCAGCGAGGCAGUGAUGCCAGGCUAAUCCUAAAAAGCCGUCUCAGUUCAGAUUGUACUCUGCAACUCGAGUACAUGAAGUUGGAAUCGCUAGUAAUCGUGAAUCAGCAUGUCACGGUGAAUACGUUCCCGGGUCUUGUACACACCGGAGGUCGGUGGGGGAGGGCAAGGGGCACGACAGGGGGGGAUA
rnacentral:rRNA from 1 species